CAUGUACCUUCUGACAAAAUUCAAGCAGCCAGUGGGGUACACCAUAAAAGUAAGUCUCCUACUGUGGUUCCCAUAUUCCGUUCCUAAAGCACCGGUUCCCAGUUUCAUUCUGGAUCUACUGUCAGAGCAAAGCAUUGUCGUUAACAGCCUGAGUCUGGGUUCCUGAAUCAGGCCGCUGACCUUGGCCCAGUACCUUACCCCUCUCGGCCUCGAUGUUCCCAUUUGUAAAAUGGAGAUGCUGGCACCUUGUGAUGUAACUGGCAGAGUUAAAUGGGUGGAAGCACCUAGGACAGUGCCUGGUGCACAGUAGCGCUAUAUGUUGUCCUUAUUUUGUGAUUUACGAUGAUAACGGUAGUGGUUGGUUCAGAGCUGCCACCUCCCCUCCAUGCCUCAUCCCUGCUGCCGUUUUCUGGGCCCCGGUGCCAGCUGGAGCCGUUUCUCCGCACUGCCACAGGCUGGGUGGAGAAUCCUGUUGUUGAUGGAUUCUCCGGAAGUUUGGGGGUGUUCAGUGGAGAUAACAUGUGACAGGCCAUCUUUGUAUUAUGUCUGUCAGUGUCCCUUUGUAGCAUCUUCAUCUCAGAUCAUAUCUGUGUGGUGGGUUUUCUUUGAACCUGUGAACCCAGAGCGUGCCAAGCGGAGCGUGCUAAACUUAACCAAUGCGCCACCGGGCCAGCCCCCGUCUCUGUUUUUCUUAUCUGAAUUUCUCAACCCCUGCUCACCCUCCAUGCCACUUUCUCAUCUGGGCAACCCUCAGAGGUGGAAACGACUUAAAAAGGGAAAAGGAGGGGCCUGGCAUUGACCAUGGGCUCCCUGACCCAGGGUCUGUUUUAUAUACAUCACUGCAGCCACCCUUUCUCCCCAUUUAACAGAUGCAGAAAAUGAGUGCAAGAGAAGAAGGGCCUUGCUGAAGGCCCCAUAGCCAGGAAGCAGCAGGGCCUGGAUUCAGACCCAGUCCUGUCUCACUCCAGGGCGAGCCCACGUUUUUUCCCUGGCACCGGGCAGCCUGCCUGGUGGUGAGUCAGUGGUGCGGUCAAGCACCCAGAGAGCCGCCUUUUCUCUUCUAUUAUUGGCAUAGCCUGCCGUUGUGUGGAUGUACCGUACUUCAUUUAACCAUUUCUUAUUGAUAAAUGUUUUGGCUGUUGCUGAACUUCUGCUCUUACAAACAUUUGCUGCCGUGAAAUCCUUGUACAUCUGAUUGCAUGUAUGUGGUAGUACUCUCAGUUGAGCCAGAGUUGCUGGGUCAAAGAAAAAGUGCAGUGGGAACUUGGAGAGCCAUUGCCGAAUGAUCUGUUCAUCUCGAUUCAUUUCUCUGUUCAUUUCAUUCAUUCUUUCAUCUGUUGAAUGAAUAAUGGGACUCUAGUCAACUGCCAGGCACAGCGGCAAGCUGGAGUGCCUGGAGUAAUUUUCUGGACAGAGCACCUGCCCUCUGGGAGCAGAUAUUCUAGUUGGGUAGAUGACGUCAGGUAAAAGAUGCUUGGAAGAAAAGGAAAUCAGGAUAAGGGGACUGAGAGUGACAGAGGUCACGGAGUGACAGGUGGUCAGAGAAGGCUGCUCUGAGGAGGUGACAUUUGAGAAGAGGCAUGAAAGAAGGUAAGGAAGUGAGUCAUUUGGAGAUGCUGAAGAACAGGAAGUGGAGAGACCCCGAGGUGGAGGUGAAGGUGGAGUGGGCCUGGCUCUUUAAGGACUGGCAAAGUGACCAGAGGGGCUGGAGAGAGCGAGGGGAAGGGAGGCAGGAUUAUUUAGGGAUGGAGCUAGAGAGGGCCUAGCUUACCUAGGGUCUUGUAGGCCAUGCCGAGGGCUUGGGAAUUUACUGGAGUGUAACAGGAAGCCACUGGAGGGAGGGCCCUGAGCAAGGACCAGUGGGUUGUGAUGUAUGUUUCAUAAAGAUUUCUCCCAUGAACACCAAAAGUUCCUAACAGCGUUGGCUGUGGAGGUGAGGGUCUCAGAUCAGAACUGUGAGGAAGACUUUUUAAAGCCUUUUAGGUUUUUGAACCAUGUGACUAUUAUAAUCUAUGCCCAAAAGAAGUUAAAUGAAAGCAGUGCGGGUCGCUGUGAGGAGGAUGGCCCGCGGGCCGGGCAGGAGUACAAGCAGGAGGUGAGGAAGCUGGUGUCCCUGCCUGGGCGGGAGAUGGUAGUGACUCAGGGAGAGGGUUGUGGGAGAGGAAGCAUGAGUCAGGGAUGAAAAGUGAUGCCUUUUACCAAGAUGGGGAGGAGGAGCCUUGCUAGGAAAGGCUUUGAACUUCUUAACUUGGAGAUGCACAUUGGACAUCAAGUAAGUGGUCCUAGUCGGGGGGAGAAGCCAGGGUUUGUAGACACAGAAUUUUUACUGACUUUUAAAGACAUACACAAAGGUUAACGUUAUGAUAUAAAGAGCCUCCACAUACCCAUUACCCAGUAUUGACAGUCAUCUAUAACACGUUUGUCUGCUGAUGGGAGCGAAAUCGGGAAAAUGGACCAGGAGAUGUGGAAGUCGGGCCCUCAAGGAGGCGAGGGGGGUGCAGACAGGGUAGAGUGGAGAGAGGCGGGUGGAAUUGAAUUGAAGCCGGGCCAGCUCGUCCUGGGAAAAGCAAGUUUGACUAUGUGACAUCUCCUCCAAAUUGUAAAAGACCGCUCUCCUGGUUUUUAUGCGUUGGCAGCUGUUCCGCAUAGCAUCAAAGCUCAAAGCAGGUCUUUGGACUGCCAGUUUCGUGUUGAUGUCGAUGAUAUGGCUUCCUUUAUGGACCUUAAUAAAGAGCUGAACAAACACAGGCGAUGUUUGUUCUCAGUGGUUGGGGCAAGAGGGAGAGGAGAGCGGUGGGUAGUUAAGACAACGAAUGUUUAGGAAGGAAGAGGAGCCCAUGGCGGGAACAGCUGUGACGCUGUGAUUUAUAAUAAAUAUAUAUUUGGUCUUUGUACCCCAUUUCUGGCACAGAACUCCUAAAACCCUUGGAAUUUCCUGUGAUGAGAGCAAUCAAGGCGUCUUUUGUUAUGUUAAUGAGGCGACUUGGAAAGCACCUCGGUCACCUAAGGUUGGGGGCUGGUUGCCAGGGGUCCCAACCAGGUACCUCAAGGGUUGGAAUUUUCAGUCCCACCUGCCCCUCCACCUCUGGGGAGGGGAGAGGGUCUGGAGGUUGAAUCGAUCGCCUAUAAUAGCCACUGGUUUAAUCAAUCGUGACCAUGUAAUGAAGCCUCCGUAAAAAGCCCAAAGGGAUGGAGGGCGUCCAGGUUGGUGAACUUGUGGAGAUGCAAGGAGAGUGGCGGCUCAGAGAGCAGGGAAGCUCCACGCCCUUUCCAUACCUUGCCCGAUGCAUCUCUUCCAUCUGGCUGUUCUCAGGUACAUCCUUUUAUAAUAAACUGGUACGUGAAAUGUUUCUCAGUUCUGUGAGCCAUUCUCGCAAAUUAAUGGAACCCAAGGAGGGGGUUGUUGGAACCUCCAGUCUAUAGCCAGCCGGUCAGAAGCACAGGUGGCAACCUGGACUUGCCACUGGCGUCUGAAGUGGGGGCAGUCUUGUGGAACUGAGCCCUUAACCUGUGGGGUCUGAUGCUAUCUCCAG
ensembl:lncRNA